UGGGGAAUAUUGCACAAUGGGGGAAACCCUGAUGCAGCGACGCCGCGUGAGCGAAGAAGGCCUUCGGGUCGUAAAGCUCUUUUAUAUGGGAAGAUAAUGACGGUACCAUAAGAAAAAGCCCCGGCUAACUACGUGCCAGCAGCCGCGGUAAUACGUAGGGGGCUAGCGUUGUCCGGAAUCACUGGGCGUAAAGGGUUCGCAGGCGGCAAUGCAAGUCAGAUGUAAAAGGCAAAGGCUCAACCUUUGUAAGCAUCUGAAACUGUAUAGCUUGAGAAGUGUAGAGGCAAGUGGAAUUUUUAGUGUAGCGAUGAAAUGCGUAGAUAUUAAAAAGAAUACCGGUGGCGAAGGCGACUUACUGGGCUCAUUCUGACGCUGAGGAACGAAAGCGUGGGUAGCAAACAGG
rnacentral:rRNA from 1 species